rfam:Pan troglodytes isolate Yerkes chimp pedigree #C0471 (Clint) chromosome 8, whole genome shotgun sequence.
UGUUUUGCACACUGGUCAUGUCAUAGCCAGUGAGGUUUAUCUGAGGUGCGAUUAUUGCUAAUUGACAACUUUUCUAGAAGAGGAUUCCUUUCUUUUUGUCUCCUCAGGCAACUUCCCAUUUAUCACAAAUAAUGUUGUAU